UGUUUAGAUAAGAUUCCAAUGACUUUUGAAGGCAAACAGCCAUCCACUCAUUUCUCUAUAAAAAUGACAUUUGGCUGCUCAGUGGAUUCACCACAGGAAGCGAACUGAAACAGGAAACCUUCUGAAGCUCCAUCUUUCAGCCUUUUAAACAAAGGAACUGCUUUAAGACGCAAUAAUGAAGCUGACUGGACUUUGUGUGAUGGUUGUGAUUGUGGGACUUCUUCUGUCAACUGGAGCCACGGCUGAAGAGCAAAGUCCACACGACAGAGAUGCUCGAGGUUUAUGGAAAAAAAUAAAGGAAAAACUCACUGGAAAAGCAAGUAAACCAGAAGAAGCUCCAGCAUCUUCAAAUGGUGCAGGUGAUGGAGAAAAUUAGCAACAAGGACCUGAAGUUUCCAAGAACUUCCCUUCAAAAUGCUGCGCAGCUGACAACAUAACUUCACUUCAUGUGCUUGCAAUCAAAAUCCCACGUCUUG